AUAAAAAGAGGGAGUGCAGAGGGGUCCGCCCUCUGCCGUUAAGGAGGGUGCUCAGGCUGCUAUGCAGCCGCCGAAGGGAAC
rnacentral:sRNA from 12 species